GUCGAGGGGUAUGGCAGCAAUGCCAGAGACCGGCGCACGGGUGCGUAACGCGUAUGCAAUCUGCCUUUCACAGAGGGAUAGCCCAGAGAAAUUUGGAUUAAUACCUCAUAGCAUAAUGAGUUGGCAUCAACACAUUAUUAAAGUCACAACGGUGAAAGAUGAGCAUGCGUCCCAUUAGCUAGUUGGUAAGGUAACGGCUUACCAAGGCGACGAUGGGUAGGGGUCCUGAGAGGGAGAUCCCCCACACUGGUACUGAGACACGGACCAGACUCCUACGGGAGGCAGCAGUGAGGAAUAUUGGUCAAUGGGCGCAAGCCUGAACCAGCCAUGCCGCGUGCAGGAUGACGGUCCUAUGGAUUGUAAACUGCUUUUGUACGGGAAGAAACAGCGAUUCGUGAAUCGCCUUGACGGUACCGUAAGAAUAAGGAUCGGCUAACUCCGUGCCAGCAGCCGCGGUAAUACGGAGGAUCCAAGCGUUAUCCGGAAUCAUUGGGUUUAAAGGGUCCGUAGGCGGUUUUGUAAGUCAGUGGUGAAAGCCCAUCGCUCAACGGUGGAACGGCCAUUGAUACUGCAAGACUUGAAUUAUUAGGAAGUAACUAGAAUAUGUAGUGUAGCGGUGAAAUGCUUAGAGACUACAUGGAAUAC
rnacentral:rRNA from 1 species